rnacentral:tRNA from 1 species
GGCGGCGUAGCCGAGUGGCCCAGGCAGGGGCCUGCAAAGCCCUAGACGUGAGUUCGAUUCUCACCGCCGCCU